rnacentral:rRNA from 1 species
GACGAACGCUGGCAGCGUGCCUAAUACAUGCAAGUUGAACGCUGAAGACUGGUACUUGUACUAGUUGGAUGAGUAGCGAACGGGUGAGUAACGCGUGGGUAACCUACCUCUUAGCGGGGGACAACUAUUGGAAACGAUAGCUAAUACCGCAUAACAAUCACUAACACAUGUUAGGGAUUUGAAAGCACCAAUUGGUGCACUAAGAGAUGGACCCGCGUUGUAUUAGCUAGUUGGUAGUGUAAUGGACUACCAAGGCGAUGAUACAUAGCCGACCUGAGAGGGUGAUCGGCCACAUUGGGACUGAGACACGGCCCAAACUCCUACGGGAGGCAGCAGUAGGGAAUCUUCGGCAAUGGACGCAAGUCUGACCGAGCAACGCCGCGUGAGUGAAGAAGGUUUUCGGAUCGUAAAACUCUGUUGUUAGAGAAGAACGUCAGUGAGAGUGGAAAGUUCACUGAGUGACGGUAUCUAACCAGAAAGGGACGGCUAACUACGUGCCAGCAGCCGCGGUAAUACGUAGGUCCCGAGCGUUGUCCGGAUUUAUUGGGCGUAAAGCGAGCGCAGGUGGUUUAAUAAGUCUGAUGUAAAAGGCAGUGGCUCAACCAUUGUGU